UACGUAGGGUGCGAGCGUUGUCCGGAAUUAUUGGGCGUAAAGAGCUCGUAGGCGGUUUGUUGCGUCGGCCGUGAAAACCUGCAGCUUAACUGUGGGCCUGCGGCCGAUACGGGCAGACUUGAGUUCGGUAGGGGAGACUGGAAUUCCUGGUGUAGCGGUGAAAUGCGCAGAUAUCAGGAGGAACACCGGUGGCGAAGGCGGCUCUCUAGUACGGUACUGACGCUGAGACGCGAAAGCGUGGGGAGCGAACAGG
rnacentral:rRNA from 1 species